AGAGUUUUAAGUUAAUUAAAACUGUAAAUUUUCAAGGUUUAUAAUAAAUAAGAGUAUUUAAAUUCUG
rnacentral:tRNA from 1 species